rnacentral:rRNA from 1 species
AUUGAACGCUGGCGGCAGGCUUAACACAUGCAAGUCGAACGAGUGGCGGGCGUGUGAGUAAUGCUUGGGUAUCUAGCUUAUGGGGGGGGAUCACUACGAGAAACUGUCUCUAAUACCGCGUACCAUGGGAAGCGCCUAUGUGGGUUUAGGUAGUGGGUGGGGUAAGGGCUCACCAAGCCUACGAUCUCUAGCUGGUCUGAGAGGAUGAACAGCCACACUGGGACUGAGACACGGCCCAGACGCCUACGGGAGGCAGCAGUGGGGAAUAUUGCGCAAUGGGGGCAACCUGACGCAGCCAUGCCGCGUGAAUGAAGAAGGCCUUAGGGUUGUAAAGUUCUUUCGGUAGCGAGGCGUUAACGACAGAAGAAGCACCGACUAACUCCGUGCCAGCAGCCGCGGUAAUAC